CUCUGUUCGGGCGGUCCACGGCGACACUCCUGGGCAGAAAAGGGAUUUUUCCCUUUGCUGGCUGUUCCUCCUAUCUUUGGCUAUGGUAUGGAGCGUUUGCUUACCAAAGAGUCCAUUUGAAACUUGCCAGCCAGCUCCGAAGUUUUGGUCACUGUAAAAAUCCUGCUUCUCUUGGGAACUUUUAAAUUAUAAUGAUCUGUGAUUAUAUUUGCUCUCCAGCAGUGAUCUUUCCACCCGUUAUUUCUGAAUGUCUCAGAAAAAGGAUUCAAGGAUCUCAAGGGUAGAGCAACACCAUCUUCAUUGUUUCUCCUGGGACUGGACCCACAAGAGCAGCAUUCCAGUGGAUACAGAAGCUGGCACACCACAGCUCACCUCUGUUCAUUGCAUCCUGCUUAUCUUCUUAUUAGUUGAACAAAUUCCUUGACUCUGAUUUUCUAUGAGGCCACAAGCCCCUAGUGAGCUCUCUUCUUUGGUCUUUUUGAGACAGGGUCUUCCAGUAGCCCCAGCUGUCCUGGAACUCACUAUGUAGACAAGGCUGGCCUUCAACUCACAGAGAUCUUCCUGCCUCUGCCUCCCAAGUGCUGGGAUUAAAGGUCCGGCUCCUUGCUAAUGUUCUAACAGUGCAAAUAACAGUUUGCAAAUACUCACUUUAGCAGGGUGUGGCAGCACAUGCUGGAAGAUCAAGAGUUCCAGGUCAGCCUGGACCUCAUAGUGAGACCCUGUCUCAAAAAACAAGGGUCAGAGUGGCAGGGUGUUUGCCUAGCAUAUCCAGUGCCCUGGGCUGCAUCUCCAGCACUACAAGCAAACAAAAUAUAUAAAUAUUUAAUUAGCCAACUAGCAAAAAUAAACGGUUUUUGAGAUAAAGGGCUUCCUUUAUAGUCCAGUGGGCCUUGAACUCAUGAUCCUCUGGCCUCAAUCUUCUGAAUGCUGAGAUCACAGACAUGUACCACCAUACCUGGCAUCUCCAAUAUAUUUUAAAUAAUCUAGAGAGCAUUUAUAAUAGCUGCUACAAUGUAAAUACUAGUGAGUAGUUGUUCUAUAUUAUUUAUGGACUAAUGACAAUGGAGAAAAGGAGAUUCUGUCUUUGGUUUUGAAGGUUUUGUUGUUGUUUAGACAAGGACUCCCUGUAUAGUCCAGGCUAGCAUGGAACUCACAAUUCUCCUGCUUCUACUUCCCAAGCGCUGGGAUUACAGGUGUAUGCCACCAUACCUGGCCUAUGUCUUUAGUACUUUUCAGUAUUUUUUCCCCAGAAUAUUUUGGAUUAUUGAUUGAUUUAUGAAGGCAGAACCUGGGGACACUGAGGACUGACUGUACAUGAACCAGCCUGAGAGUUUAACAGCAGUGAAUAAUAUCAGAAGAUUGAAAGAAUGAUUGAUCACUUUUAAAUUGUGAUAACAUAGUGGCAGAUCAUAGGAAGUGUUCUGAUCUGUAGAAAUGUAUACUGAAUACCUUUGGAAGAAAUUAUAGGAUACUGUGUAUAAAA